rnacentral:rRNA from 1 species
CUCGUAGGCGGUUUGUUAAGUCGGAUGUGAAAGCCCCGGGCUCAACCUGGGAACUGCAUUCGAUACUGGCAAACUAGAGUAUAGAAGAGGCAAGUGGAAUUCCAGGUGUAGCGGUGAAAUGCGUAGAUAUCUGGAGGAACAUCAGUGGCGAAGGCGACUUGCUGGUCUAAUACUGACGCUGAGGAGCGAAAGCGUGGGGAGCAAACAGGAUUAGAUACCCUGGUAGUC